GAUCUAAAAGGUUGCUUGGAUUGUCCCAAUCCACGUACAUUGAUACUGUGCUGAAGUGGUUUAGCAUAAAAAAUUUUAAGAAAGACUAUCUUUCGAUAGACUAUAAAAUUUUUCUCUCUAAGAGGAAUUGUCUGAUAAUUUUUUAAGAGAGAGAGCGUAUGAGUAAAAUUUUAUGUCUCGAUAGUGAAAUCUAUUAUGUAUGUUAUGACAUGUACG
rnacentral:lncRNA from 1 species